ensembl:lncRNA
CUCGUGCCCCUCGGCGAAGCCCCCAGGGUGCCCAGGCUGGGCGACUCCCCCGGCGGCCGCACCCCCGGCCUGGGGCCUCCGGUCGUAGUAAAGCGGAGGCGGGCGCGAGAGCCCGGCGCCGGGCGAAGAUGGUGGCGGCUACUCCUCCCGUCAUACACGUGGACCUAACCUAACCGCACCAAAGCUUUUCAAAGGAUACUUGGCUGAGGAGGAAGUUUCCCGAAUGGAAUCUGCCUGGUGUAUCUGAUGUGACAGCUCUUGUAGCACUAAAGUGCUUAUAGUGCAGGUAGUGUUUAGUUAUCUACUGCAUUAUGAGCACUUAAAGUACUGCUAGCUGUAGAACUCCAGCUUCGGCCAGUCGCCCAGUCACACUGUCCUGUCCUGUCCUGUUACUGAACACUGUUCUAUGGUUAGUUUUGCAGGUUUGCAUCCAGCUGUGUGAUAUUCUGCUGUGCAAAUCCAUGCAAAACUGACUGUGGUAGUGAAAAGUCUGUAGAAAAAGUGAGGGAAAAUCAAACCCCUUUCUACACAGGUUGGGAUCGGUUGCAAUGCUGUGUUUCUGUAUGGUAUUGCACUUGUCCCGGCCUGUUGAGUUUGGUGGGGAUUGUGACCAGAAGACUUUGAAAAUUAAGUAUUGCUGAAGAUUGUGAUUUCCACUGUAAAAUGUUCGAGAGAUUUGAAAUGUUUAAAAGAACUUGGGUAGCUUAUGUAGAACAUGUACAACUUUUUGUUUCUUGAAGUUAAGUAUUGUCUUUUAUACUAAAACAUUUGAAAAGUUUUAGUUAGAUAUAAUUUGGCUGUCAGGUAUUCCAGUAUGAUUGUACAGGAAAUUUAUUGUAAAUGUAUGGCAAUCUGUAAAGUCAGAAUAUUCCUUUUUGUUUUCUUUGGACCUAGUGUUAAUCCAGGAUGCUUUAUUCAAUCAAAAAGUUAAUAAAUUAUGUCACUUAAGAAUAUUUAAAUGGCUAAAAAUACCGUUUAAAUCCUUAUGUGAAUUUUUUUUUAAAGCAUGGCUGGAGUGUUUCCAGUAACCAGAUACUAUUGUGUGAAUACAUGUGUUCUUGAUGUGCAGUGGUUCUAUAAGUGGUUCUAUACUAGUUUUUUUUGUUUGUUUUUUUGGCAGUUGUUAAUGAUUUAUGUCUUGCCAAGUGACCUAGGGACCUCAGACUGUUCUGCCUUGUGGGACCUAAAAAGUGGGAACGAAAAAGAUAAAGAACAAUAUAGAUGCUAAAUGUUGUGAUAAGUAUUUAUUUUGUGCACAUGCUUCCUUAAUACCAAGUGUGCUGCAGUGGAGUGAAAAUCUGAAAUUAGUUUUUCUCCAAAUCUGCAGUUAAUAUUUACUGAACUUUGGCAACAAUGAGUUUAUUCCAGGUUGGUGUGAUUUCUGUCCCUGGAGUGGAAUCUUAAGAAGUGAAGUUUAACUUUUUAUUUGACGUUUCUGCCAUUUCCCUUUUGUCCAGGAGUUUUGUCUUUGUUUAGACUAUAUUUUUUAUGUGUUUUAUUAAAAAUGGCUUGUCUUAGUAGAUUGAAAAGGACCAUUUGCUAAAAAUUGGACUUGAGAUCCAGGGACCCUUUAAGCUUUGCAAAAUACUGUAUUUUGGAGGAAGUUGCUAUUUCAAUAAUACAAAGUAAAGUUCAGUAACCUUAGUAAUUACACCACCUGAUAAAAUAGAUAACAUUUUUUAAAGUACAUUGGGUGAAGUCUUAAGAAAAGUUUUCAUCUCUAAUGUAUCUCUAAGAAAUUUUAAUUCUUGAAUAGACAGGUAAUUAUUUGACAGUUCUGGAGUUAAUUUCUAAGCUAGAUUUUUCAGAAAGAAAAAAGUCAAAAUAUAUAAUGGUUUAUUUAAAAUCUAAUAGUUGACCUGAAUUCUUGAACCUUUUGUAUUGAUGGAAAUGUAAUUGUUUCAGUUUGGCUAUUUAAUGAAAAACAUUGCUUUAAAUUUUUAAAAAUUCCAUGUUUUUGGUGCUUUGGAAAAAGGUAUGCUGUGGCAUUUGUGUCUGUUUUAAAAGCUUGAUUAUACUAGCACCAUUUUUUUAAAAAAUGGAACCUGUGAUGAGCCUGCUGAGGAUGGUUUCUUAUGCUAGCACAUAAGUCAGAUUUCAACGGAGUUUUAAAUGGUUAACUCCCUGGAUGCUGAACCUGUAUACUUAACUGUUCAGAACUUCCUUGGACUUGGAUUAAGAUUUAAUUCUAAUGAACAAGCUAAUAAAUGAAUAUGUUUAGUGUGGUUGGCAGUAUUGUGUAGAGUUUAGAGAUUUUGUUUCUGGUUAAGUGUACAACAUUUUACGUUGGAUCUGUUAAGAUUUUUUUCCCCUUGGGUAUGAUAAUAUAUACUAGCAAACAAUGUAAGUAUAAUUUAAAUGUAGCCAUCUUAAGAUACCAAUACUUGAACAAGUUGAUUACUGACUCAUCUGUAAUUAACCUGGGGAGAAAACAUCUUUGACCUGAGGCUUACCAGUGCUUUUUGGCUUUGACAGCCUGAAAACUUCUGAGAAAAAAAGGAACUUAAUGUGCUUUUGCAGGCUGUGCAUGUACAUGUCUUAUUUUUAGUCUGCAUAUAGAAGGCUAUCACUUAACAUUCUAUUUAACGCUGUUUAUAAAGUAUCAGACAUUCACUAAAAACUCUGGAGUCUUUGUUUUACAGGCAAGCCUGUCUUAAGCACAACAAACCAGACUUUGGGUUUUUCCUGUGCAUAAACUUGAAGAGUUCUUCAUACUGAUUCCUGACAAAUUUUGAACUGAAACUGCCUGGAGAAUAGUUUGGUGUACAUUAAAGUUUAUUGUAAAUCUAAUGAAAUACUGUUCUGUUAGUAACUGAGUAAUUGACUACUUUGUAGUUUGUCUAAUAUUGGAGGAUUUUGAGAACUCAGCUGAGCAGUAAAGGUAAGAAGAUCUCCGUAUACAAGGUUCAUUUUGGGUGUCUGACGGGAAGUAAAAGCAUGAGUUUCUAGAGUACUGUAUUCUUCGGCUUAGAGAUGUUUUAAUAGUUUACUCUUUUUUUUUUAAAGCUAUGUUAUAAGUACAUUUUUUUUUUAAUUUAUUUAUUUAUUUGGUACUAGGGAUUGAACUUGGGUCCUUGCGCUUGCAGAGCAGGCUGCGGAACCAGUGAGCUAAAUCCCUGGCCCCUAUAGUUUAUUUCUACUCAGUCUGAACUAAUGUAAAUUUCUCAUUUGGUAGAUAAAACUCAUUGUAUUUACUGAGUUUUAAAAAAUUACUAGGAAAAUGCAUGUACUCUAUGGAUUUUAAGACCCUAGGAAAUGUUGUCAAAGGCAUUUCCAAAUAACCUGAAUACAGAAGCACAGCACUUAGGGAUGCCUGAUUAUGAAUUUAGAAUUUGGUCAUGCUGUUUGAGUUAUUUUAGGGCAAUUAAUAAAAUACUCCAUUUGAAACUGUUUGUUUAAAAAUUACCCAUAAUGAGCAUAUUGGAAUAAAAAGGUUAUUUUUCUGAUGCUGUUUUUUUGUUUUGUUUUGUUCUUAUAAGAGUCUAAAAUUUAAUUGAGGAAGUGGGCAUAGGUACCAGAGUUAAUCUAUACCUAUUUAGUUAAAUCUAGUAAGGUAUCAAGUAAUUCUUAAGUUGACAAUUGAUCUGGAUUCCUAAUAUGUAACUAUUCGAUAAUGAAUGGCUCACUUGUUAGCUUAUUUUAAAUUUGUUGAAUGACAUAGAUGCUUCAAAUCUAGUCACUUGGGAUUUUAUUAAUAACCAUUAUAUUGGCACAUCUCCAUUUUGACUAGGAUCUUAUACAUGUUACUAAGGUGUUUCAGACCCUGUGGUACACUGAAGUUGAAGCCUAGCAGGGAAGCUCAAGGUUUGUGGAAUAAUUUAAAUGCUUUUGCUACUCAUUUGGUUCUAGGGUUGAAUGUUUUCUGUAUUUAGAACAAAUUGAACGAGAUGGUAUGUUCUAAGCAAGCUUCUAAGUUCAGCAGUUUUUAAACGUUGAAAAAAAGUCACAGUAAAUCCUUUGAAAAUAAGGUACUAGAUACAGCUUCAUGAAGUAUGCUGGUGUCCAGUACUUUAAAAAACAAGUAAAUGCCAACACAAAUGUAGAUUUAGUCAUUAUAGGCCAGUUAUUUAACAUAAAGAACAAAACAAAUGGUUGGUAUCCCUUAAAUGAUAAGUAAUUAGCUGAAUGAGCAUUGCUAAGACCAGAGACCUAAAUUUAGGGGUGUGUAUAUAUUUCCUAAGAGAAUUAGCACGUGCCCAUCGUGAUGCUUGUUUACUUGUGUCAACUUCAGUUUGCACAGAGUAAAAUACAUUGAAAGCUUGAAUUCCAAUAACCUGAAAGUGAAUUUUGUACAUAGUUGAGAUUUAACUCCAGGGAGAAUACCUUUGUUUCAGGCGUUAAGACUUCAGUGCAAGAAUAGAUGAAAAUUGGAAGCCUCUUGUAAGGUAGUUUAGGUAAUGUGUCACGUAGUUUGAUCCCUCAACACAAAAGUGCAUGGGUCAGGUUCACCAAAGACUUAAAACUAGAACUUUCAGAGUAAUUAUAAAAUUACUGGGGUACAGUUUUUAACUGUACUUGGGUGAUACAAUUGAUAAUUUGAUAGUUCACAAAAUAGACCUGGACUUUUCAGUCUAGGUAUGUUAGAAUCUUUGAGCAGGCUACUGAACAGACAGGUGUUCUGAGGAAUAUUUUGAUUUUGAUAUAUACUCAGAAUAUAAUCACUACCCUGAGUUGUCAGAAAUGGCACUGAAUGUCAGAGCAACACCUUAGAGUUUGUAGGGAUGUAAGAGACUAAAUAGUUCCAUAGGCAUUCACUCCUUGUUUUAUAGUUAGCUUAUUUUGCUUGCCAUUGCAAUUUUUGGCCAACUUCAAGUUCACGUUUGUUUCUGAAUCUGCAGACUUGCUCACUAUCCAACCGUAGGUAGUAGCUUUCCCCUUACUUGGCUCUCAUACACCACACAUAUAAUGUCUUUGUGUACUAUACAUAGAUUUCCUCAGGGGUUGUUUCAGAACAAGUAAGAGGGUGAAAGAUAUAGGCUACAUUUUCCAGGUAUUGGUCCUCCAGGAUUUGAAUUCCCCUCUAAUAAAUCUUUCAAAUCUAGCCUCAGAACACUUGAAGCAAAACUCCAGAGCUAUAACAAAGCAGCUACUUUAUCUAGGAAUUAUGCUUGGAAUUCUGUCUCAUUACAUUCAUUACUGCAACUCCUAAGGAAUCUCAGUCUAAGCAACACUUGAUUGAGAAUUCCAUGCUUAUUUUUUUAACCCUCAUAAGAAUUUUGUAAUCUCUAAAAUUGUAAGUUAUGCAGUUUCUGCCAUGUCCGAAAUAUUACUAGUGUGUAGAAUGCUUAAACCUUCAAUAGGGCCCAUGAAUGAAUUUCCUAGAAUGAGAGGUUGAGGGGAAGGAAGCAGCAAAAGUGAGAUCAGAUUCUAAUAUAUGUUUGACUUUAUGCAUGUGUAAUCAUCUUGGGGUACAUUUGACAACUUGAAGUAAUUAGUGUUAGCAGGGUUCUUGGCUUAAGUAAGUAGAAUUUAGAGUAAACAUUAAUCCUUCAGCAAAGAUAAAAGAAAGUUUCCUAAAGGUAGAAGGGUCAACAAAGAAAAUCUGAUAAUUCAAAUUAUGUGGGAAUGUAAUGGUGCUCUCUUGGGAAUACUUACCUCCUAAAUCUCACAACGCAACUGACAACAGUGAGGGCACCAAAAAUUCUGUACUUGUACAAAGAAAGGUGAAAAUACUGUACUGAGAGGCAGCAGUUAGUUUAGUAAAGUUAGUAGUUCUCAACAUGAUUAUGUUACCUGAAGUACAGGCUUUUGUUUUUUAAAUCAUGGUUCUUUGUGCUACAGUUUCAAGCUCCUGUUUUUGGUUCAGCAAGCAGUUUAACAUUUCCAUUUCCCUUGUCUAGUACAUUUACAUUUAGAAUAUCAAUACUAACCAAAACUCUUAAUUUUCCAAUAGGUUUCACUCCAAGCAGAAUUUACACAGAAGCUCUACUCUGGUGUAUGAUUAAAUUUUGAGCUGAUUGUUUGGCAAAGUUAUAUAGUAAACCAGUAACACUUGAGACAGGCUGUGUAUGUAUUAUGAGAGAAGAAUGAUAAAGGAUUGAGGAGUCCUGCUGUCACCUCAUAUUACAGAAAAUAAAGACAAGUUGAUAGGCUAGUUGAGGUCUCAGAACUAUACAUAUAUACACAUAUGCCUUAGCACAGUAGGUCUAGUCUGUGGGCUCCAAGAAUAUGUAAAUCCCAUUGUAAAUAUUCUGAGUUGCCACCUGAUAAUUGCCUAAUGGGUCGAGGAGUUUUAAGCAACUACUUAAGGAGUCUUAUUAGAGUUUAAUGUCAGGUUCUGGGUUCAAGUAUCAGUAGCCCCUGUUGGGGCAGUUUUAGUAUUCGACCCCCCAAAUUGUAAGCUCAGCUAGGCUUUUCCAUCGUGGUCAGUGGUGGCUGUCAUGAUUAUCUGGUUCACAUCAGCUGAAAGACCUUCCUUCAAAACAAAAUUUCAUCUCCACUCUGCUUGAACAAAUGUAGAUCUCUGGCCUACCAGAAGUAAGCCUGUGGGGGAGAGGUAAGAUCAAGGUUAGGCCUAAGUCUUAUGAUAAUGACUGACAGGUCCCCUUCCCCUCCCUGAAGCACACAGGAUACACAGGCAGAGUGAUGGUGCAGUUAGUAAGAGAUAAGAAUGCCCUAAGGGUUGAGGAAUAGCACCUUGGUUGACUAGACAGCAAAAAUGGAUUCUCAGAAUUGCAGGAGGGGGUUGAGAAGGUAGCCGCUGAGGCAAGCAACCAGGCUGCAGUGGUGUUCACCUGCUGUUGCUAGGUUCUCAGCUGUAAUGCUACUUCCUCAAAAAGGCCCUCCCUGAGUACCAGCCUUAUCUGAGUACCUGCCAUUUUUAUUCGGUGCACCAAGUAAAACUUUAAGUUGUAUCAAUGAUGUUUGUAUCAUUUUAUUGCCUAUUAUAUUUCAUAGUCCCACUGUAGUUAAUUACCAUAAAUUUAAACCUUAAGUUAAUGAAUUAAGGAAAGUUUUUUCAACAGUCCGUGGAAGGGGACAAAACACAAAGUGACUGGCUUAAGAAUUUUCCUCUGCAGUGCCAGUUUAAGAGGCUUGAAAAAAUGAUUGUAAGUCAAAUAUCCAGUUGCCAUUCUCUGAGUAAAAUGAUUUGCUCAGAACAGAAGGGGUGAUAGUAUACUUCUCACAUUCUCAUUCCAGGAAAAAUGUCUAGAAGUACGUAAGUCAACUAGCAGGUUAAGUCCAGAGAGGGGAAACUGAAAUAAGUGCAACCAGUAGGACGUGUGAACACUGAAGUGAAAUGAAGAUAGCAUCUGCAGAGUCUAAGGCAGUGUUUUUUUAAGUCUCAAAAUUAGCUUAAUCUGGGGCAUGAUCCUUUAGAGAAUAAAUAACACUAUUUUUUGGUUAAGAGAACAAAUGGUUUGAAUGUUUAUUUCAAAGGAAUUAGAAUUAUAUAUAUAUACUAGGACAUCAGUAGAAAAAAGGUACAUCACAAAACAGGAAAUAAGCAUUUUAAUUGAAGUUAAGCACAGAAGUUGUGUUUAUAAAUUAGUUUCUGUUUUAACUCAAGACAGUUAUACUCAAGUUCCAUAACAUACAGACAUUUUUGGCCAUUAGGAAUGUAGAGAUGAUCAAAGUCCUUGACUUUACCUUGAAAUUCUCUGGCCCAAUAGCAAGAUCAUCUGCUAAAUGCCAGAUCUUUGAAAAUGAGGAAGACAUAGUGUAUUCUUUCAAAUGAUUAAGCCUUCAUUAAGUACUUGUUGAAUGAAUUGAAGGUUUCUUUUAAAUAUGACUUGGCCAUUAAUAGAUUCUUUGAUGUAUUGCAGUAGGUAUAUAUCUGUUAACAUUUCUCACCUGAUGCCGAGUUUUGUCCAGACAGCUUGCCUUGGUGAAAAGAACAGAAAAAGAUUGUGUGUGGCAGGGACUGAGGGGCAGUGAAUAUAAAGAAAAUGCUAUCUCUGCACAUUUGUAUGUGAUGUGUAAGGAUGACAGGAGUGGCUGAAUGGGGCAGGACAGUGAUCUGGUUAAUUCUGAGAACUAGUGUGGUAAGAGAAUUCAGAACAAAUCUCAAGAAUAACAAACCUGCCUUUUAAGUAAGGAAGUGGGAAACCAGACCAUGACUUCAGGACUGCCAUUCUCCCAGAUCACUAGUCUUAGUGAUGGCAAACCUUUUCGAGCUUUCCAUGAUUGAUAAUAGUGGGCUACAGCAUGUUUGCCAUCAGUUCGCCACUACUGCCCUAUUCUAAAGGCUAUGUGUCCUCAAGGAUGUUGCAGGUAAUUUUGCGGUAAGCCUUACUAGAAUUAGUGAAAUGAAGUGGUAACUGACACUAAAUGACAGCUUACAAAGUACUACUGGAGCUCAGACAGGGAAAUGACUAAUGCAGUAAGUACUGUGUGCAUUUGGUACCCAUUACAACACACAAGUAAUUAAAAGGGACUUGUUCUCUAAAAGCGUAUGUAAAUAUAGUAAUUAGGUCUCUCUUUUUUUGAUAGUUUGGUUGUAGUGUGUUGAUCCUUGCUUAAUAUGAGGAUUCUAAUAUUGAACGUUUUUUUCCCAGCCAAAAAUGAAAUGUGCAAGUUACUACCAAGUGAAGCCAUUCAUAGUUGAUAUGACACUGCUAUGCCUGUGGUUCCCAUGUUGUCUACUGUCUUGAAACCAUCUUAGUCUGAGAAGAAUUUUUCCUUGCCCAAGGAACAAAGUAAAGUUGUACAUAGCAAUACAUUGAGACAUUAAAAGAUUUUACCCAGUUCUCUUUACUUCCUGUGUACUUUUUUUCUGUCAGCUCUUACUCAUUCUCAUAAGUGGAAAAGAAGGAAGUUUUGCAAAAUAUCCCUUGCAGGGACGUGAAAAGAUGUGCAUAAACAAUAUAGUAAACUUAAAAGAUUGCAUAAGGAUUUGGGUAUCCCUGGAAAUCAUGGCUUGAAAAGAUCUUCAUCAUGAACAGGCAACAACUUAGUAGUGAAUUUGUAACUUGAUGUCCAAAGAUGAAAAAUGUUCCUUUGUGUGCAGAAAUUCAUUGUAGCUUCAUGUGUACAAGAUGUUGCAGAUGGAGGACAAUAGGAAAGGGCUGGAAGAGUUUGGUUUAGAAUCAUUUUGUAUAGCAAGUGGGUUAGAAAAGAGAAAGUGGGGGCUGGGAAUUAGCUCUAUUGGCUGCCCAUGAUGGAGAUUCUGAGUUCAAUUCCAAGCUGUGGGCCCCCCCCCCCAAAAAAAAGUAGUUAUGGGGGGAAGGAGUGAAAUGGAAUUAAGAGACUGUCUUAGUGGCUGAGCUCACAAGAGACAAAAGACCAUGGCUGAUUCCCAGUAAUAGGGUGUGAGUAUUGCUAAAAAGCAGUUGUGCCUCCUCCUCUGGACCUUGACAGGUACCUUAGUCCUGACUUGGUGAAAACAAAUAACAGAUUAUUCUGCUCUGCUGCAAAACUUAGAAGAAUGGGGUUUUUUUUAUAAUCUUAAAAGUCAUUUUGAAUGGCUUGAGUAAUUUUGUUACAGAAGCUGUCAUGUAGGACUUGUGUUAACUAAAGUUAAUAUGGUAGAUUACAAUUAUUUUCAAUCACUGUAUAUUAAUUUUAUCUUAACAUUUCAUCUUAACAUUAACAUCUCUAUGAGAUAUUCCCAAGUUGGGGAAGCAGGCGGGAAAGUAUACAGGUGAUCAAAUUGACAGGGGUAAAUGAGGCAGCCAAUGUGAACAUUUAGGAGGUCUGGCCAGGUGGGAUGAUGCAUGCUUGUAAUCCCAGUUAUCAGAAGGCUAAGGCAGGAGGAUUGCCCUGAGUUCAAGGCCAAGCUGAACUGCACAGUGAGACCCUGUGUCAAAAAGUCAAAAUCUAGGAAAUCUGGUUCAGGAACCAGUUUUCUUAACUGCUAUGCUGCCUUCUAGGCCAGCUUUCAUUAUAUGUUAGCAUAGUGGGAAUGUAAAAUGAUGUUACCACUGAGCAGAAAUAUUUGGGGGGUUUUAAUAUCUGAAUUUACCUAAAAAUACAAAUUCCAUUUGAUCCAGCUAUACACUACUUAUGAAUAUCUUCCCAAAAGAUUUAACCAUAAUUCUAAAUGAAAUCAGACACACAAGACUUAAAUAUCACAAUUUCUCAUAUGAGAAAUAGUAUAAGGAGCAAAGUAAAGAUAGUAGGGAAAACUAAGUUUAUACCUUUUCUCAGAUUUUGUGGGAUAAAUCACAUUUCUGUUCCAAUAAAAAGUUUAUAAAAAUUUCAGAAAGCUUUACCCUAAUAUACUCUCACCAGAAAGAGAGGUAUGCAAAGAAGUCACAACGUUAGUUCUUGAGUGGUAUUUUCAGUGAUUUUUUUCCUGUAAUUUCACUUUUAGUUUCAAACAAGUUCUUUUAAAAUAAAAAUUCUGUGUUGGUUUUUUACGUUAAAAUCAGUCAUCUAGUCACUUUUUAGAGAAGAUGUAUUUCAAAAUGAUUGAGAAAAUGUCAGUAAAUCAACAUUCUAUUAGAUGUAAUUAAAUAAUUAUUUUCAGAGACAGCCUAGAGAACUGGGAUAUUGAGUAAUUACAUAUUGCUAAGGAUGCAGCAAUGCCAGUAUUGUCAGGAAGCCUAAAAAUGGAGUGAUGAGCUUCCUAACGCAUUUCAUUGUGUUAGCAUUAGGAUCUAAGAAAUACUUUUAAAAUGUAAUGAUACAACCUCACCUAUGACAGAUGUGAAACAAUACAUAAUGCAAAUAUCUCAACAAAUUAGCAAAAUAGGUGUCAUCACUGUGACUUAGCUCUGCUUUGGUAAAUUAAUAGACUCGAGUGAAAUAGAACACAAAUUUUUGGCAUAACUUGGAAAAGUGUAGGCAAAAUUAUCAAUAUUAGCAUUCAAAAUAGUUGUCUGCAAUAAUUUUUAGAAAAAUUACUAGUAAGACUUCUGUGAGGUAAUUUAACACAUUAUGAAAUGAUUUUCCUAGAUACAAACAAGUUGCAAAACAAAAAUUGUAAAAUAGUUAACAGUGAAAAACAUCUAGAAAAAAAUUCAGAGACACUGAGAGUGAAAGGUAGAAAUGCUUUCCAAAAUUGCCUAGGAAUUGAAAGAUGGAGGGUCAUUUUUUCCCAUGCCUUUGUGAGGUUAACCACCCCAAACUGGGUAGCAUAUGUAUAUUGAUACCUAUAGGCUUCCUUAGCCAAGGAUACAAUACAGAUACAACAAGGGAUGUUGUGUGGUGGUUUAUAUUGCUGGUCAGUGCAUAGAAUCUGUUGCCUCAGAAGUGACAAGGUGGGAUCAAGGAGAUUUAAAAUGGUGCACAAAAGGUGUCAAAUGGAACGCAGUUCCUGCACUUAUGCUUGUGUCUUGCAUUAAUCCCAGCUUAAUCACAAAAGUGCCCAUCAAAGCUGUUGCCGGGCAGAAUCAUGACACUGUAAAAAAGAAUUAGCUGCUCCUCCAGCUUUUGUCAUUGAUACUCAGCCUUUCCUUCACCAUCCAUUCCUUCUAGAUUCCUAGAUCUCUGCCUUACUAGCAUUUCUGUUUCAGUUACUGAUAGGUGGUACUACCUGGACACUGAAACUUGAGACGGGCUCCUUGCCAUAUACUUUCUGGCCUUCCGCUACUCCAGUUUUUCAUUAAGUGAGCAUAAAAAGUAUAGAUGUAGCCUGGUGAGUCCCCUGAGCUCAGUAAAAACUGCCUCUUUUUAUACCUGUUACUCUAGCUCAUGGUUAUCAGGACAAGUCGUAGUCACCAUAACAGUACCACCUCCCACUCUUAAUUGUUCCUUCAUGAAGGAGGCCAAAAUUAUUAGGUGGUAAUUGUAGCAUCAAAUUAAUUUCAUCAAGUUCUUUGCAUACUCAUAAUGAAACCAUUUCUUGUCCCCUACUUACAGACCAGGACCUCAGAUACGGAAGACCUAAAGUUUCAGAGCUAGGGAGUACAGAUUCUGCAAAUAGAUCGCAAGUAAUGGUUUGAGAGGUCAGUCUUUCACCUCUUGAUGAAAUCCUUUUACUUCAUGUUGUGAGGGCUUCUUAGUGAAGCAACAUGUAUUCUAGAUACUGGGGCUAUAGUAUCUCUGUUAAUCAUGACGUGUCAACUUGAUUAAAACACACCUAGCAGAUUAUUAAAGCACACUUCUGGGUGUGUCUAGACAUGACUGGCAAGCAGGCUAGCAAAUGAGGGGAAGGGACCCACUCCCAUUGUGGGUAUUACCAACUAAUAGGCUUGUAGCCUGGAUGGAAUAAAAAGGAAAGAAGUAAGUUAGCAUAUAUUUUGAAGAGGUCCAUUCUGCUUGAGUGGGUGCAUCUAUUGCUUCCAUGUCCUAUGGAUAUACUGCAGUUUCUUCAGAAUUCUAAUGCGGAGUCAUACCAGCAACUAUCUGUUAGCUUAAAGACCUUCAGUCUUGGACUGGUGCUGUAUCCUUGAUCCCUUGUUUUCAUGGCUUGCAGAUUCUCGGACUGAGCAGUUACUGGAUCCUCCAGCUCUUGAGCACACAGAUGGCCAUCAUGGGCUUUCACUUCUGAUCCUGUAAGCCUACCUUAUAAAGCCCCUUGUGUUUAAAAAAAAUUAUCUAUCUAUACAUAUACUAUAUAUUUUACCAAUUGCAUUUCUCUAGAAAACUAAUAUAGUAUCUUAUGUUGGCCAUUGAUUUUAGUGCAUACUUCAUGGUGGCUUAUCUUGACCCAGGAGGGAUUGUCCCUGGCCUGAUGCUUGUUUGAGCCUUAAUGAGGCUAUUGUAUGUGGUGUUAGCAUUUUUGUAAUUAUGAUGAUCCUGGAUGAAGUGUAUUACUUAAGACUAUUGGACAGUGUGUUAGUGGCCUCAACUUUGCCAUAAAAUAAAUCUCUUGGUUUGAGGAAUAUGGGGGAUAUUAUACGUAACUGGAGAUUCUGUAAGUGUUCAGAUAGUGAUGGUGAUAGAAAAACUGAGCAAAGAAAACAAACUCACUUCUGGAAAGGGUCUAUUUAAGGAAGGACAAAUUGUUGUUUCCUUCUUAGUUUAAAUCUUGAGUCAAGAUAAUUAGUCUCCCAAGUGUUUGGCUAGGCUCUCAGUGCGUGACAGGUGAUUGCUACACCUGACUUAGAGAGCCUGCCUACUUCUAGACUAGUGUGGGGAGGACAAACUUCUCUGUUUAAAUCAUUGUUGUUAUAACAGUUUAAACUUACUUGAACUAAUGCAGACAUUAUCAGGAAAUGGGGUGUUUCUGCAAUACAAAAUUGAAGUAGAUUAUUGAUUGGUAAUUGAAGGGUAAAGAAAGAUAGGGCAGGCUGUCGAGUAAUUACCAGGUAAAAGUGAGCCACUGCAAGCAAAAGGAAAGGGAAUCCAGUUCUGCUGAUGACUCAUCCUAAAAUAAACAUCUGGAUUGGCUGAUUUGACAAUAUUUCAGGAACUCACAGAUUGGAAAACCAACUCUGUACCUUAAAACAGGAAAUACCUUUGUCCCUUAGCAUUUCUCAAAAGCCUCUAGUAUAUGUUCUCAACUAGCAAGUAGGAAUCCGCUCUACAAGGUAGUUUAAGGGCAUUCCACUCCUUCCUGAACCUAAUUAUUCUAGGUGGGCUCAAGGUAGUCAUCACUAAAUUGAGAGGUGAAUAUUGUCUUAGUUACUUUCCCGGUGCUAACACACAAUACCUGACACAACUCAAAGGAGAAGAGGUUUACUUUUUGCUCAUACUUUGUAGAGGUUACAGUCCGCAGUUGGUGACUCCUGGCUCCAAGGCAGGACAGCAUGGCAGAGGACAAGUGGCUCAUGGCAUGGCAGCAGGAAGCAGAACCGAGAGAAGAGAUAGAAAUACACUUUUCCAGACCAUGCCCCUAGUGACCCACUGCCUCCCACCAGGCCUUCCUCUCACCACAUUUAGCUAUAAACUCACCAGUUGAUAUGUCCACUGAGGCGUAUCAGGCCCCCAUGAUUCAAACACUUACCCAAAAUCCCAUUAAUGAGUCUUUGGGUGACAGCUAUAAAUCAUAACCAGAAAAUAAAGUAGAAUCUGAAAUUGUUUUUGUUUCUGAGAUAGAUAUGCAGUUCAGGCUACCCUUGUAACCCAAGCUGUCUUCAGGCUCCCAGUACAGUGAUCCUCCUGUCUCAGCCUUCGGAGUGUUAGGAUUACAGGGAUUUGCCAUCAUGACUUAAGUCAGAAGUUUUAAGAACAGUAACAUGACUUGAUUUUUGAGAAUGCCUUAACAUGGAAGUGAAUGUAAGUCUAAGAGACAACUCAAAUUUGAGAGUAGAUUAUUUUCCAAAGAAAUCCCAGUCAUGGUUCCUGUCUCCAACAAUUCCCAGUUGUAAACUACCAGCAGAAAAAAUACUGUUGAAGCCACAUAAUCACCAAGAGGGUGACUCAACAGCUCAUUUCAGAGGUGUGCCAAUUCACUUACACUUUUCAGCUGUAAAUUCUUCUUUGCCUAUAUGUUGGCCUUCAAAUAGUUUCCACCUAACAGGAGUUGGUAUGGUAUUGAGCUUUAUCAAUAAAAGUUUCUGGAGAGUUUGCAUGAGGAACGAGUAUUCUUUCCUGAUUUGGUGUGUUCAUCUGGUAGGCCCUUGUGACGUGGAUAACUUCUCCAUUGCCCAGAUCCUUCAGGGUACGUCUGUGAGCGGCACCCAGAGACAACAGCUUCAUCACGUAGCUGCAUAGUGAUGUGUCUAUAGCAAAAUGCCACCCAAUGAACAGUUACUAACACUUGAGCAGUGAUGACAAACCCAUGGCAUGCAUGCUGUAGCUGGCUGUUGUCAUUGAAAGCGCUAAAAAGCUCACCAUCACUGCUCUAAAGAGUGGAUUUCUGGUAAAUUCUGGUGGCUCAACCCUAUGGUGACUAACCUUGUCAUGUGUGAGAGAGAGUUCUGUGGGGCUUGUCCUGGAGGAUCUAUUUCAGGCCUAGAGAUAGUGGCUGCUGUUUGUAUCUAAUAUUCCUAUAUUCCUUUGAGUUCUCUGUAGUUCUAACUGGCAAGUCCUGCUUUUAGUAAUUAUUUGUAAUGAGCUUUCAGUGUUCAAAUCAGUGUGUGUGUGUGUGUGUGUGUGUGUGUGUUUCCUGAUCGGGGCCAAAUGGAUAUGACACCACAGUAGAAAAUAGAUAAAGAGAAUGAAUUUUCCGAAUGAUAAAUCCAGUGACCAUGGGGUGGCAGUAGUCAAAGGAAUUCCUGCAGGAAAUCAGAACCAGAGUUUAAGCAAGGAAUUUACUAAAUUUCCUGGGAAGGAAGCCUUCUGAAUUUCUGCCAAACUGAAAAUCAUAGUGAUUGCUAUUUCCCAUUUAUUUUCAUUAUGGUAGUUUCCCUUAUGGUGUUGUAUGCUACUCCACCAUUUUGCAUUGAGAUGUAUUGGAUUGCAAUUAACUUGUAUAAUAAUAAUAGUUGUUGGUCCUUGAGACCUUUGUAUCAAGAGGCAAAAAAUACUCAGAGAUCUCAGAUUUUGAACUGGGAACAAGGAUGAUCUUUAGUUGCAUUCCUUGGGGAAGACCUGUGUUUUUCAUAUGGGAGGAUUGUUGCAUUUGGAUACUUGGUCUAGAGGCUAAAGGUAGGUAGUAACUUCUAAUUGUUCCCCAAUAUAUGUUCCCUAUUUUCAUUUCAGUAAUAAAACACCUUGAAUUUUUGCUGAGUGUCUGCCCAACUGGAGACUACAUUUUUCCGAUUUCCUUGAUGGAUAGUAAGGCUGAAUUCUUGACAAUAGGAUGUGACAAGUGAUACAUGUUACUUCCCAGUCUUGUUUUAACACAGAUGUAUGCUGCUUGUGAACCAGUUUUGAACAUGUAGUCAAGGAGAGACUUUGGGAGUGGUUGAAGAACCCACAUAGAAAACCUGGGUUGCUGAAUGUGCCCUUGUGAAGCAGAGACUCCUGGAUUGCUUGCUUGCUUCUCGAAUGAUGUGUAAAAGAAUAAUAAAACUCCUCACUUUUUGUGUGUGUGUGGUUUAUUUUUUUUUGAGCUAGUCUGUUCCUGGUCUUUUUGUUACAUCAGCUAACCUGUUCUCUAACACUGUUGUUGUCACAUUUGUUUCAAAUGAUACGUAUUUCUUUCAAAUCUGACAUGAACUUUUACAGUGUUUCUUUCCCUUGAGCCUUCUUCUACCAUUUUUUUUUCCAGGCAGAAGUGUUUGCAGAAAUCUUUGUCUUCAUCUCAUUACUUUUUACUGUCACUGCCAGCAGGCAGAGCCCAUAACAUAAAUGUAAAAUUGUGUUCAGUAUAUGUUCCCUUGAGUUUGUAAUUAUAAUGCAUUCCAGGGUGCACCUAAAUAAGAAUCUGCUUUUCCAACCUAAGAUUGCUUUUGGUGCCAGUCACACAGUAAAAUAUACACACAGGCAAUAGCUGUAGUAACUAACACUAAAUGAGGCUGAGCAUAGUAUAAAACAUUAUCCGUUUUCAUUGCUAAUGAUCUGGGGAGAAUUGAGAUAAUAUGGAGGCCCUAAGGGUAGAAUGGGAGAAUUCUAAGAUUUGGAGGUGUACAAAAUACUUCACAAAAUAGUAUUUUUCUUCAUCUUCAGAAGCAGCAAGUGAUUAUGAUUUAUAUUAAAUAGGAUGAUCAGUAGAAUUUUAUUGGUAUUUUCUAUCAUUAAACCAUAAAUACUGAACAAAGUGUCAGAUACUGGUUUCAGUUAUAUAUUUGUGACAAUGAAAUAUGAACUUAAAAUAUUAAAACGAAUAUGAACAUGCAAAUUUUUAAAACACGUGAAAGUAAUCACUGUAAAAGUGACUAUUGAACUAUUUUAUUUUCUGAAUUAAAAUACAAUGUAUGUAGGGCCAGGGAUUUAGCUCAGUGGCGCCGCACCUGCCUCUCAAGCUCAAGGUUGUGAGUUUGAUCCCCCAGUACCAAAAAACAAAAAAAAUGCUGUAUGUAACAAAAUUUUACAUAUGAAGCCAAGGAUUAAAGUAGAUUAUUAUUGAAUGUUUAAACACAAAAUGUAGAGACAUCUGGAUCUAGAGCCUUUGUUAGAAGAAAGUAAUUUGUGAAGCAUUUGGUAAAAAUAUUCAAGUAAUUAGAAAUGCCUUCAAAUUCUAAAACGUGAAAAUACAUUUUGGAAAAUUAAAAUUAAUCAGAACUAGGAAUCAAAUAGAAUAAAGAUUUAGAAAUAAAGCAUUGUUUCCCAAAUUUCAAUCAUUUUCAGUUUUUGCUAUAUCAACACCUAAAAUAAUAUUUACCUAAUAUUCUAACUUUAUGAUUUUUUUAAAGCAUGAUUUUACUUGCCAUAUUUAACUAUAAUUUUCUUUAAAUAGAGCAGACAAUUUAAUGCAUAUGCAAAUAAAUACAUUGAAAUAUUCUUAGGUGUGCUAUGUAUAUUAUCUCACACCACCCACGCAGCAUACUUUAAUGAUUGAUAUAGAUUGCAGUACAUAAAAUCUUCUAAUAUUCAGGGCAUAGGUAAAUUUUUAAAAAUCUGCUUGACUUAAAAUCUUACUGUGUCAAGUGAAUUCAUGCCCUAAUUGGUCCGUCAGUCAGUCAUGAGUGGUCAUAAUGGGUGUGUCUCUUCCAUCACUUCAAGAUACCAAGGCUGAAACAAACCAAUAAAACUUGAAACACUAUAAAUAGAAGUAUGAUGCUGGAACAGCAUGCUGAUAUUAAUAAAGUUAACCUCACUGCCUAAGUAAACUGCUCAAACUUCACAUUACUACAGUAAUGAGAUAAAGGCAAGUAGCUGGCCUGCCAGUGAACUGUAUCUAAGAUUUAAUAUAUUUGUAUGCCAUUAGGUUAUUUUAAAAAACUUUUUCAAGACUUUGAUUUAUCCAAAACAGUUUAAUUCCAUAAACCCUGGACUUCAACAACAUUCUAGAUUUUUGUGAUUAAGCUUGUGCUUUUUGGAUGUUUGUAAAUUGCUAUUUGAAAAUACCUCUCAAAAUUCAAAUUUACUUAUUAGGCAGUAAAUAAAACUACUAAAAAGACUUCUACAAAAUGCCAUUCAUUUUUAUUAACUAUGACACAGGGAAAUGAUUUGUAUUUGGGGAGAAAAUAUUGAGGAUAGCAUAGCAUCCAGUAUCCUGAAUUAUCAUCUGCUAAGACACUUGAUUAUGGAGGAGCAAAACAUAUCACUGAGGUUCAAGCCCAUGCAAUUGUUGGAGUUUUGUCCAGAAAUGAGGUGCGUGUUAAACUUUGGAUACUACAUAUGCUUUUGAUGUAUUAAGGCUAAGUAGUGACACCUUAAUACUUCAUAAAACACAGUACAGUGGACUAUGGGGAACAAGUCUGUGCACAGAAAACCCUUUUGAUCAACCCAUGCUUUUGCAGCAUGCUGAAAACAGAUGUGUUCACUUUUUACUGCUAUGUAACAUCACUAAAAACUUAGUAGCUUACAAAAAUAACCACUCGUUAGCUUGCAGUUCUGCAGAUCAGAAGUCCAGGACCAGUGUGCCUGGGUUGUGCUCAGGUUAACAGGAGAUACUGUAUUAGGCAACUAAAUUCUUCCAUGUCAGUGUCCUUUUCCUAACUCAUUCGUGUGGCAGAAUCUAGUUCUUUGUGGUUAUAGGACUGAGGUCCCCCAUUUCCUGGCUGUCAGCUAGACUUCUAAACUCCUCAGAUUGCUCCUAGUGGACAGUACUUACUGUAAGGUCCCCUCCAUCUCAGCAACUGAAUAGUGUAGCAGUCAGAGUCUGUGGGCAGAGAAAAUUAUCUGUAUUAAAGGGUUUAUUUAAGUAGGGUCUUCCAGAAGAAUCUCCCUAUCUCAAGGUUAGCAGUUUUAUAUAACAAUCUAACCACAGGAGUAGAAUAGAAUAAAUUCGUAGUCCUGAUUAUUAUGUAUGCUGUAUGUACCCAAGACAGGAAAUAUUGGAGGACAUCUUAGAGUCUUGCCUAGAUACUUUGUUUUCAAUUUCAGCCUUUUAGAUUUUUUUUUGGCUUCUGUCUUCACACUCAAUCAUUUUUUUAAAAUCUACAUUUUCCCCCAAAGAAACUCACAAAAACUCAAAUUGCCAUUGUUUUUCUAUGUAUAAGGAAGUGUACGAAAAGAUGUGUGUUCUUGGAUUUGCAAACAAGUUUCAAUAAUACCAAAAUAGCUUUCAUGCUAUUUAUAUUUCUCUUUGCAAAUAUAGCUUCAACUAAACCAUUAAUUUAUGAUGAAGCACUUUUGUGACAACAUGGUUAAAAUAGUGAAGACACGACUUCAAUAUGAUUUUUUCAACAAGUUUCAAGCCUACUGUGUAAGCAAGUAGGUUUAUUUCAAUGCUAAGAAUAAUUUUUAUGAAUAUCUUUCUACACAACAGGCACUAAGAAAAUACAGAAGUGAAAAUUAUUUUGUUAAAUUCUUUUAUUGGUACAUUUUAGGUAUACAACACAAUUACAUUUCUCAUUGGGAAUUGUACCUUUACAUAAUGCAUCUUGGUUCUUAUUUGAGAAGUGGUGAAAAUUAGUUAUUGGUGAUUUGACUGAGUCUAUGCCUCACCUCCUCUUCGUGUAUUAGUUGGCUUCUUUUAGUAACGAAUUUUGAGCCGAAACAUUUGAUUUAUCAAAGUAUAGAAAAAAAUACCAAGGAAACAAGGAACUUGAUGGAGCUUAGUAAAAACACAAGAUGCGCAACUAUGUAUCAAAUUGACCACUUUCAAGUCAAGAUAAAGACCAAUGAGUAAGAAGAAAAUUUUCUGUGGCAAAGUGCAGUAUAGUGGAAAGAAUAAUAAAGAGUCCGACCCUGGACAAGCUGUUUAAACAACUUGUAUGAGUCUCAGUUAUUUCACUUUAAAAGGAGAGUGAUUCCCUACUUCACUCAGUUGGGAGAAUUGAAUGAUUCAUCAAAUGUAUAGCCAGUAAAAAGUGUUCAAUAAAUACUUUCCUUCUCUGAAUAAUUUACUAAAUUAUCAAAUUAAUUUUAAAUGGGAGAAAUUACUUUUUAGAAGUUAGAGGAUGCUCCAUAAACUUACUUAAUUUGUAAAGUUUGUAGAUUCAACUACAGAUACACAAAGCCAACAACAGGGAUAGAAUAACAGUAACCUAAGUAAUAAUAAAGUACCUUUAAGAUUUUUAAAGAGAGGACAUUCAAUAGUGAAAUUACAAGAGAGAAAAAUUGAGUUAAGUCAAAUAAGAUAUGUCAACCCAAUGAUUAGCAACAGAAGGUGGGCACCAUCUCCCUACACUGGAGGAACAAAGAGAGAAGGAAAUGUCCCUGAAACCCAGGUGACAAGAGUCAAGGAAAUACAGCCACUGCUCAGAGAUGCUACCAAUGGCAGAGGGAGAAAUAUCCUGGUUUCUUCCUUACAAUAAAACAGAUGAAAAAGGCACCAUUCUAUGUGGUUGGUGAGACUGUAAACUAGUACAACCACUAUGGAAAUCAGUGUGAAGAUUCCUGAAAAAACUAAAACUAGAAAGUCCAUUUUACCAAGGUAUUCCUCUUCUGGGUAUCUUCCCAAAAGAGUUAAAAGAUAUCAAACUACGGUGGUAUACACAUACUCAUAUUUAUACCACCACAACUCAUAAUCCAUCAGAAGAAUAGAUAAGAAAAAUGUGGUAUCUAUGCACUGUGGAGCACUACC